UUGGGUAUCAAGCAUGAUGUGCGAUAAAGGGUUUUCCUCGUUCCCGUAUGACGACGGAGCAUGCAGAAAAAAUAAGCCUGCAGAAAAAAUAAGCAAGUUGUUAAAAAAAUAGAACAAAGUACAGGAGAACAAAUAAUCAACUUAUCAUAUCAUCUUAUUCACAAAUAGAAGAUGAAGAUGAAUUGAGCUGAAAUGUCUUUGCUUUCUUUCUCUCAAGCUAGCUCUAUUAAAGAGGGGACAUUGUAUCCUUCCAAACAAGGGAUUCCCCGCUUUUACGUCAGACUAAGAAGCCAAGUCCAAAAGUUUUCUUUGAGGCCUCGCCGGUGUUAAUAAAACCAACCAGCUUCCCAACAAGUGCAGCACUUUCUCUUAUGUGGUUCAAAUCUCUUGUAUCUGUCCAUACGAGCCAUGCCAAUUGUGUACUUCUGAGCUUGGUCUUCAAAUCAAUACCCCACUUCAGGUCAAAAAUCUACUCAUGAAACAAAAAUACUUUACCUUGAAUUAGGUGUGACGUCAAGACCUUCUUCUCCUGUAAUGUAAUGUCCGCUUGAAAAAGCAUCCUUUAAAAAGGACAAACGUCUGAGCUCUACA